rnacentral:rRNA from 1 species
AUUGAACGCUGGCAGCAUGCUUUACACAUGCAAGUCGAACGGUAACAGGGUGCUUGCACCGCUGACGAGUGGCGAACGGGUGAGUAAUGCGUCGGAACGUGCCGAGUAGUGGGGGAUAACGCAGCGAAAGUUGUGCUAAUACCGCAUACGUACUGAGGUAGAAAGUGGGGGACCUUCGGGCCUCACGCUAUUCGAGCGGCCGACGUCUGAUUAGCUAGUAGGUGAGGUAAAGGCUCACCUAGGCGACGAUCAGUAGCGGGUCUGAGAGGAUGAUCCGCCACACUGGGACUGAGACACGGCCCAGACUCCUACGGGAGGCAGCAGUGGGGAAUUUUGGACAAUGGGCGAAAGCCUGAUCCAGCCAUGCCGCGUGUCUGAAGAAGGCCUUCGGGUUGUAAAGGACUUUUGUCAGGGAGGAAAUCCCUAGUGCUAAUAACACUGGGGGAUGACAGUACCUGAAGAAUAAGGAUCGGCUAACUCCGUGCCAGCCGCCGCGGUAA